GGGGCAGUAGCUCAGUUGGGAGAGCGCCGGAAUCGCACUCCGGAGGUCGGGAGUUCGAAUCUCCUCUGCUCCA
rnacentral:tRNA from 1 species